AGGAGUUCUGGAGCUGCUGGCUGGAGAGGAGGGUGGACCAAGCUCUCCCCAGAAAGACAUCCUGAGAGGACUUGGCAGACUCCAGGUUCUUCAGUUUUGGAAUUCAAACUGGCUCUCCUUGCACCUCAGCCUGCAGAUGGCCUAUUGUGGGACCUUGUGAUCAUGAAGUCAGGGGCCCAGAAUGGAGGGAUCAGCCAGAGCCGAGGCAGAAGAACAUAAAUUGUGAAGAUUUCAUGGACAUUUAUCACUUCCCAAAAUUAAUACUUUUAUAAUUUCUUAUGCCUGUCUUUACUGCAAUCUCUGAACAUAAAUUGUGAAGAUUUCAUGGACAUUUAUCACUUCCCCAAUUAACACUCUUAUAAUUUCUUAUGCCCAUCUUUACUUUAAUCUCUUAAUCCUGUUAUCUUCAUAAGCUCAGAAUGUAAGUCACCUCAGGACUACUAUUGCACAAAUGGAUUGUAAAACAUGUGUGUUUGAACAAUAUGAAAUCAGUACACCCUGAAAAAGAACAGAAUAUCAGUGAUUUUCAGGGAACAAUGGAAGACAACUAUAAGGUCUGACUGCCUGCGGGGUCGGGCAGAAUAGAGCCAUAUUUUUCUUCUUGCAGUAAGCCUAUAGAAGGAUGUCCAAGUAGGAGAAAUAUCACGGAAUUCUUUUCCCAGCAUGGAAGAACCCUGGGGAAGGA
rnacentral:sRNA from 1 species